UACGUAGGGUGCAAGCGUUAUUUCGGAUUCACUGGGCGUAAAGGGUGCGCAGGCUGGCCAAGUGUGUGAGGCGUCGAAAGCCUGGAGCUUAACUCCAGAAUUGCACCUCAAACUACUUGGCUAGGAGCAUUGGAGAGGGUAGCAGAAUUCAAUGGUGUAGCAGUGAAAUGCGCAGAUAUCAGGAAGAACACCCGUGGCUAAGGCGGCUCUCUAGUACGGAUACUGGACGCU
rnacentral:rRNA from 1 species